CUUCAUCCAAGUUCCGAAGUUAGCUUCUGCGCUUGACUGGCCUCUCUGUCGCGGUCCUGCUGGGCCUGGGCGAGCUGCGCACGGAGAUCAGCCGCCUGCAUUCGUAGCUCGUCCAGCUGAGAGUCCUGGAGUGUGUGCUGCCGCUGGAGCUCUUCUUCGUGGCUGCGCCGCAUGUUUGCCAGUUCAGUGUCCGUCUGCAUCAACUGCUCCUCGAACUUGGC
rnacentral:lncRNA from 1 species